rnacentral:rRNA from 1 species
AUACGUAGGGUGCAAGCGUUAAUCGGAAUUACUGGGCGUAAAGCGUGCGCAGGCUGUUUUGUAAGACAGUGGUGAAAUCCCCGGGCUCAACCUGGGAACUGCCAUUGUGACUGCAAGGCUGGAGUGCGGCAGAGGGGGAUGGAAUUCCGCGUGUAGCAGUGAAAUGCGUAGAUAUGCGGAGGAACACCGAUGGCGAAGGCAAUCCCCUGGGCCUGCACUGACGCUCAUGCACGAAAGCGUGGGGAGCAAACAGGAUUAGAUACCCUGGUAGUCCACGCCCUAAACGAUGUCAACUGGUUGUUGGGGAUUUAUUUUCUCAGUAACGAAGCUAACGCGUGAAGUUGACCGCCUGGGGAGUACGGCCGCAAGGUUAAAACUCAAAGGAAUUGACGGGG